CUAAGAAGAGGUGUAAAGGAUGCACAAGGGGUUUUGAUCUCCUUAGAAUAGGUUCAAAUCCUUUUUUCUUAGA
rnacentral:tRNA from 2 species